rnacentral:rRNA from 1 species
UACGUAGGUGGCAAGCGUUAUCCGGAAUUAUUGGGCGUAAAGCGCGCGCAGGUGGUUUCUUAAGUCUGAUGUGAAAGCCCACGGCUCAACCGUGGAGGGUCAUUGGAAACUGGGAGACUUGAGUGCAGAAGAGGAAAGUGGAAUUCCAUGUGUAGCGGUGAAAUGCGUAGAGAUAUGGAGGGACACCAGUGGCGAAGGCGACUUUCUGGUCUGUAACUGACACUGAGGCGCGAAAGCGUGGGGAGCAAACAGG